CCUACGGGAGGCUGCAGUGGGGAAUAUUGGGCAAUGGGCGCAAGCCUGACCCAGCAACGCCGCGUGAAGGAAGAAGGCUUUCGGGUUGUAAACUUCUUUUAAGCGGGAAGAGCAGAAGACGGUACCUCUUGAAUAAGCCACGGCUAACUACGUGCCAGCAGCCGCGGUAAUACGUAGGUGGCAAGCGUUGUCCGGAUUUACUGGGUGUAAAGGGCGUGCAGCCGGGAAGACAAGUCAGAUGUGAAAUCCCGCGGCUCAACCGCGGAACUGCAUUUGAAACUGUUUUUCUUGAGUACCGGAGAGGUCAGCGGAAUUCCUGGUGUAGCGGUGAAAUGCGUAGAUAUUAGGAGGAACACCAGUGGCGAAGGCGACUUUCUGGACGAUAACUGACGUUGAGGCACGAAAGUGUGGGGAGCAAACAGGAUUAGAUACCCGAGUAGUC
rnacentral:rRNA from 1 species